GACGAACGCUGGCGGCGUGCUUAACACAUGCAAGUCGAACGGAAAGGCCCUGCUUUUGUGGUGUGCUCGAGUGGCGAACGGGUGAGUAACACGUGAGUAACCUGCCCUUGACUUUGGGAUAACUUCAGGAAACUGGGGCUAAUACCGUAUAGGAGCUCCUGCUGCAUGGUGGGGGUUGGAAAGUUUCGGCGGUUGGGGAUGGACUCGCGGCUUAUCAGCUUGUUGGUGGGGUAGUGGCUUACCAAGGCUUUGACGGGUAGCCGGCCUGAGAGGGUGACCGGCCACAUUGGGACUGAGAUACGGCCCAGACUGCUACGGGAGGCAGCAGUGGGGAAUAUUGCACAAUGGGCGGAAGCCUGAUGAAGCAACGCCGCGUGCGGGAUGACGGCCUUCGGGUUGUAAACCGCUUUCGCCUGUGACGAAGCGUGAGUGACGGUAAUGGGUAAAGAAGCACCGGCUAACUACGUG
rnacentral:rRNA from 1 species